AGUGGUACAUAACGCAUAUGGGAAAACACCGGGCAUGUGCGCGUCUUUUCUCCGGUUCGCUUCAUAUCAUCGCCGCUGUUCGUCGAGUCGAUGGUGGCGCGCACACGGUAGCAAAUCUGGGGUACCAAAAACAAGGGGGAAAAGUGGAUCAAGUGUAAAUAUGGAGUUGAUCUUUUUUUUUAGCUAGUUUCCAUCUAUCGCCUCGAACACGGGACAAUCAGACUGAGGCCACUGAGGUGAGAGAGAGAGAGAGAGUAGUGAAGCAGCUGUGAAACAGGACCUGGACCAACUCGAAUGAUGCUGCUAGUGUGGGAUCGAAAAAAAGGAACAAUGUUUAUUUACCCUGCCUGUCUUAUAGUUUAAUUAAAAGAUCGUUAGUGCCGGGAUCAAGAUAUUGAGCGAGUGAUUCGUAUUGACAAGUCGAAACCCGGAAUUAUUCAGUACAAAUAUAGCCACGACCCCGAUACACCCUUCGCAGAGUUAGACGUGAGAAAAAGACUUGGAGGAACUGUGCCCAAUUUCGAAGAGGCAGUUCUGAAACCGCUGUAUCCUAACGGGCAUGGUAUUUCUAAAAUGAAAUACAGUGACAUCAUGUACCUCUUCAAAUACGUUUCUCCUGCACACCAUGGACUCUAUGAGAAUUUACGAGUAGACGAAGACAGGGAUAAUGCAUUAAUUGAAUAAAAUUAAUUUCAACUUAUUUUAAUCAAUAACACGUAACACAUAGUCAUUAUUUUCGAACAAAAUAUAUCCUCUUGAGUGAAAAAUUUACUGUAAAAUAAAUUGAAAAAUAGCGGAUAUUAAUUGCCGAAUAUUGAUAUUAUUUGCUGAAUAUUGAUUUCAAAUAUUGAAAAAAUGUGAUGAAACACAUUCUGACUGCUUAACUGUUCUUUGAUUGAAAAAUAUGUCAAAAUUGUUCAGUCAUAGUGGAUUAAGUCUUAAAAAGAGCUUCAUUGGUUCAGUCAGAGUGGACUAUGUACAUAUAGCAUGCCAAAUAACUGUCUGUUUUGAGCAUAAAACGUGAUUUUUUUUACAAUUUUAUCACCUCACAGUAUUGCCAGAGGGUAGCAAAAAUUUCUUAGAACUAUAUAGAACGAAAAAAUUGAAUGCUUAGAAAAUUGCAGAGCGCUAAACUUCAACUUCGUUUUUCUGGAAAUCAUAAAAAUGUCACAUGGUCCGGUCUGACUUAACACCGACCAUAUGUUCUACAAUUUCAUAGUGACAAGCGUUGUUAGUCCAUUUGAUGUUUGCGCUAACGAAAUUGAUCUUCGAAAGUGGAAAUUGAUUAUAAAGUGAUAAAAUUCACUCCUAUAGCUUCUUCUAUCUAUAUAAAUAAAAAUGGAUCGCCGAAUGUGUUGAUAAGAGCAAAACUCGAGGAAGGAAUUGUCCGAUUUAGGGUUGUCUUUAUUCUAUCAUAUGUUCUGUAUCAAACAUUUAUUCCAUGUAACGGAGAAACAUGUUAUUUGCAAGUGGUUGGAAAAUCUUGACGAGAAUUGUGUCUGAAAAUAAUCCCCUAAUAAUAAUAUUAUAAUGACGAGUUUUGGUAGAAGUACUAGGAAUUUUAUAGUAAAAGGUAAUUUUAAAGGGUAGAUUAGAAGAUCAAUCAAUGAACAGUUCUGCGAUUGGACCCAUGAACGUGCGCUUAGUAAGAAAACGUGAAUGUGGUAACGAAUUUUUAGGCGUGACGAAGUUUGCCGGAUCAGCUAGUUUAUCUAUAAAAAUCAGAAUGAAACAACCCAGUUUCAUAUAUUUUCGAGCGGUUAUGGACCCGAUGUGGACCGAAUGUCACAAAGUACUAUAAAAGUACUGGAUUAAAGCUCCUCUCUCACCCCCGCAUGAAGGACUGUCUAUAGUUUGAACUAUAAAAGUUCGCGAUAACUGGUGCUGAGCGAAAUGGCAUCACUGCAGCGAUUGCCUUCCCUCUCUCGCAUUGAACUGUCAUUCAGAUAAACAAAAACGAGAGAAGUGAAUGGAUUAAACAAUUUGCUUGACUAACAGAAAUUCGAGGAAUAAAAUAAUGGGUUGAUUUUAAGGAUAAUAGUACCAUGUACUAUUCCUACGCAAUAGUCCGGAAUAAGUUCCAGUUGUGUUUCCUUGUGUAUAGAACCCGCGAUUAAGUGUGUGUCAAUAGCAACUUGAGUACGCCCCAGUUGUGGAAAAGCUUCUGUUGCUAUGGCUCCAAUUACCGAACCUCAAAUUUGCCGGAGUAAAACCCGUAUCUGUAUUCAACGAUUGUAUUAAACACACUCUUCGCUAAUGCUAUCAACUUCCAGGAUAUGAACAGGAAUAAAUAGGAAUGUUCAGUGAAAAUUUGAUUCAUCCACACCGGUGAACCAAAAUGUUCUCUCUGAACGGUGUAGCAUAUAAUUUGUUCAAAAGAAAAUUUGGUUCGCUCAUUAUAUAGUGCUUUUAUCUAUUAUAACUGUAGUACAGCCAUGUAUUAGUAUUGAUGUAAAUAAACCAGCAUUGUAAAUAAAUUAAAUAAUUUCCA